GUGGGAGGGGGCUUGCUCCCGAUUGCUGUGUAUCAGCAAUAAGUUUGUCAACUUACACACCGCUAUCGGGAGCAAGCCCCCUCCCAC
rnacentral:misc_RNA from 1 species